UUGCGAAAAAGGUGGUGAAAGAGAACUUCACUGCUGACCCGAGCAGCAGCAGCAUGAACUAUGCAAAAUUCACAGCUGUCCUGGCGGGCAGUGUCGCGGUAAAAGAGUACCUCGAAGACAAAAAGAUUCUUCUGACCUCUGUGUAACGAACAACAAUUAAAAAUAUGUGUUUUUAACGAUGGCUAGCAUUGUGAUGAUGGUCGGAGGUGCUAUUCUUAAUGCCGCUACUUUCACUGGCGGGAACUAUCUUGCCAAAUAUUUGUCUGGUGACAGCAGAGAAAGAAAAAGUGGCACAACAAAGCCCUUAAAGAUUAUCAGGCCACUAUGGCCAGAUACAUGUGUGAGUGCACGAAGCUUCUUGGUUGGAUUCAAACCCACAGAGAAAUCAAACAACAAGCGAAGCAGAACUUCACGAACACCGAUUACGCAUGUAAACUCUAUAACCAGGCCCACCUAGACAAUCACACCACCCAAAGAACCUCAAUUCGUUGACUUUUAUCAACCCAGUGAGCAGCACAAGCAAGGCGAGUUGCUUUUUGUGGGCGGCAGCGCGCUCACUCUCGGCUACGCGGCUUUUCCUCUUCUUUGAAAAUGCUUGUAUUUUAAAACGGCACUACUGGUGUUACAAUAUGGACACUGAAAAGCAGCUCGCAAAAGUCUACUACAGCCUCAUGGGCUACUGGAAAGGCAUUGCUGCCUUCAAAAAAUUAGCGGAUGCUGCAUCCACUAGUGAAGAAACCACCAAGCAGUGGCUCAUCAAACAGGCUUUCUGACAGAUCUAUCUCCCCGUGCUGCGCUACAUUCCUUGUCCCAAAUUCAACGUAGCGACGCCUAACAAGGUCCACCAAGUGGACCUUCUUUUUCUGCCUCACAACAAGCUCCCGCACGGUGCAAAAUUUACAAAUAUGCACUGGCCGUUGUUGAAGUUGCCAGCCGCUACAAAAAAAAACCAAGCCUCUGACCUCGAAAGACUCUGCUGAGGUUGCAAAAGCUUUCCAGUCAAUUUACAGGCACAGCCCUUUGGCUUGGCUGCACAUGCUGCAGGUCAAUCCUGGGCGCAAGUUCAUGGGAAGCGUGACCAAAGAAAUGGAAAACCACACAACCUAUAUCUGCUGUGGGCAUGCUGAAAUUCACUGAGACCAAGCCAUCGAUGAGCAUUUCAACCGCACGCUGGCCGAGCGCUUGUUCGGCUAUCAGUAUGCCGUGGAAAUGCUACUGCCUUCUGGCCAGUGGUCAACCGCAUGGGUCACAAGGCUCCCCGACGUUGUUGCCGCUCUGAACAAAGAAGUCACUCGCCUGACUGGCAAAAAGCCGGCUGAUGCUAUCAAAGAGAAGUCUGUCACCUCCCAACCCUCCACUCCUUAUUCAAGGUCUGUUGGUGUGAAUGAAAAAAAGCUUCCCUCCAACGUGAAUGUUCACUUUCUCUACCAGCCCGGUGAGCUAGAAGGGGGGUUUCAAAGAGCCACAGACCCGGUCCACAACCACAACCUUGAAAGGGCUGUGACCCAGCCUGAUGAGCCUGUUUAAUAUUAUUUGCAUGAUGGCCCUAUGCUGGGGUUUGUACAUGACAAGCUUUUGGUUGUCCCGCCAAACACACAGCUUCUGCCUGCUUAUGCCAUGCGGAAUUCAAUCGGCUCUGUGUGGAUCCCGUCUGGCAGCAACCAGCGUUUGUCAUAAUACGUUGGGUAGCAUAAUAUUUGCCUAUUGAUUCAUCAUUCUUCAUCAGAUAAGAGACCUUUAUUUGAAUCAACUCCUCUGCCAAAGACACGUUCACAAGCAAGGCACACUCUUGCUGAAAGUACUAUUGAGGUUAAUGUCACUGGCUCCACAGUAGCUAGUCCUCAAGUGAAUGACUCGAGGCAAACCUCCAUGUGGAACCUUACCACCUCCUGGGAAAAGGCAGCCACCAUAAAUCCUUCGUUUGCUUCACUGAAGGGAAAUCCUUUCAAGGACAGCCCUCUGUCAGAAUCUGAGCACUCUGAAACUACCUGUAGUAUUGACGAUGAAAGUUCAUGUGAAAGUGGAUGAUAACUACAUCAGAGAGGAGGACCCUUCACUUGUGUCAUUCAGCCAACCUUUGUAAGUGCAGCAUAUGGUACAUUCAUUGACCAAAGCUGGGAUGUAAACAAGCUUCAUUUUGUAGCUAAGUACAUGUAUUAUACAUCUUUGAAAAGGGGAAGUGAUGCAUUUGACAUUUAGCCCUAAUAAUUUAUCAUAAGUUGCAAUUGAUUAUUUAACAGUUGAUUGAAGUUUGCAUUCUUGUCUAGAACAGUGCAUGUAAAAUUAUGCAUAGAGCACAGAUUUUACAUGUGGCUG
rnacentral:lncRNA from 1 species